rnacentral:tRNA from 10 species
GGUGCUGUAGGCAAAUUGGUAAAGCCACAACUCUUUCAAAGUUGCGUUUGCGGGUUCAACUCCCGUCAGCACUGCCA